rnacentral:rRNA from 1 species
GGCUCAGAUUGAACGCUGGCGGCAGGCCUAACACAUGCAAGUCGAGCGGAUGAGAGGAGCUUGCUCCUGGAUUCAGCGGCGGACGGGUGAGUAAUGCCUAGGAAUCUGCCUGGUAGUGGGGGACAACGUUUCGAAAGGAACGCUAAUACCGCAUACGUCCUACGGGAGAAAGCAGGGGACCUUCGGGCCUUGCGCUAUCAGAUGAGCCUAGGUCGGAUUAGCUAGUUGGUGAGGUAAUGGCUCACCAAGGCGACGAUCCGUAACUGGUCUGAGAGGAUGAUCAGUCACACUGGAACUGAGACACGGUCCAGACUCCUACGGGAGGCAGCAGUGGGGAAUAUUGGACAAUGGGCGAAAGCCUGAUCCAGCCAUGCCGCGUGUGUGAAGAAGGUCUUCGGAUUGUAAAGCACUUUAAGUUGGGAGGAAGGGUUGUAGAUUAAUACUCUGCAAUUUUGACGUACCGACAG